UACGUAGGGUGCAAGCGUUAAUCGGAAUUACUGGGCGUAAAGCGUGCGCAGGCGGUUAUGUAAGACAGUUGUGAAAUCCCCGGGCUCAACCUGGGAAUUGCAUCUGUGACUGCAUAGCUAGAGUACGGUAGAGGGGGAUGGAAUUCCGCGUGUAGCAGUGAAAUGCGUAGAUAUGCGGAGGAACACCGAUGGCGAAGGCAAUCCCCUGGACCUGUACUGACGCUCAUGCACGAAAGCGUGGGGAGCAAAC
rnacentral:rRNA from 1 species